rnacentral:rRNA from 1 species
GUUUGACCUCGGAUCAGGUGGGA